rnacentral:rRNA from 1 species
AAGGGCACCACAAGAACGCGUGGAGCAUGUGGCUUAAUUUGACUCAACGCGGGAAAUCUUACCGGGUCCGGACACACUGAGGAUUGACAGGUGGUUCACACACAUUAUUCAUAAUGUUGUGUGUAUAAAUAUGCUAGUUCUUUCAUGAUUAUGUGAUAGGUGGUGCAUGGCCGUUCUUAGUUCGUGGAGUGAUCUGUCUGCUUAAUUGCGUAUCACUAAACGUGUAAUUAUACAUAUGUUAAUAUGCAGUGUCUAAUACUUAUGUAUAUGACCUCAUAUUUUACAUAUUAUACACGUUGAUAGCAACGAACGUGACCGUAACCUCUUGUUGCCUGGCUCGUGACUCGUCUCAGUGUAUGAAUAUCAUUUCAUACACUGUGGAGACCAGAUGCAAACUAGAGGGACCGCUGUAUUCUUUCUUAAACCAGGGGAAGGUUACGGCAAUAACAGGUCUGUGAUGCCCUUAGAUGUUCCGGGCCGCACACGUGCUACAAUGAUUAUUGCAGUGAGCAUCUCGAUCUGACAAAUUGUGUGUAAGCGUUGCGUAUUUAUUAUAUGCACUGUCUAACACGCAAUACUGCCUGCUUCGAAAGUUCGCGGGUAAUCAAUUAACAACAAUGAUUUCCAAAACAUAUAUAGCACACAUAUAUGUGAUUAUGCUAUCCACAUAGUCCCUAGUGUCUGUGUCGUGCAUAGCAUAAUUUUUCACAUGUGCAAUUGUCAAUUCAUGGUGGGGACAGACUAUUGUUAAUUAUUAGUCUCGGUCUUAACUAGGAAUGCCUUGUACUGGUUUAGUUCAUCAGACUACCAGGAAUACGUCCCUGCCCUUUGUACACACCGCCCGUCGCUCUUACCGAUGAACUAUACUGUGAGUAUAUUGGACUGCUGUAUUCUUGCGGAAAAAUACACGAACAGUGUGGUUUAAAGGAAAGAGAAGUCGAACAAGGC